rnacentral:rRNA from 1 species
GCGUUGUUCGGAAUUACUGGGCGUAAAGGGCUCGUAGGCGGCCAACUAAGUCAGACGUGAAAUCCCUCGGCUUAACCGGGGAACUGCGUCUGAUACUGGAUGGCUUGAAUCCGGGAGAGGGAUGCGGAAUUCCAGGUGUAGCGGUGAAAUGCGUAGAUAUCUGGAGGAACACCGGUGGCGAAGGCGGCAUCCUGGACCGGCAUUGACGCUGAGGAGCGAAAGCCAG